GAUGAACGCUAGCGGCAGGCUUAAUACAUGCAAGUCGAGGGGCAGCAUGAUUGUAGCAAUACAAUUGAUGGCGACCGGCAAACGGGUGCGGAACACGUACACAACCUUCCAACAAGUGGGGGAUAGCCCAGAGAAAUUUGGAUUAAUACCCCGUAACAUAGCGAUGUGGCAUCACAUUGCUAUUAUAGAUUUUUCGCUUGUUGAUGGGUGUGCGGCUGAUUAGAUAGUUGGCGGGGUAACGGCCCACCAAGUCUACGAUCAGUAGCUGAUGUGAGAGCAUGAUCAGCCACACGGGCACUGAGACACGGGCCCGACUCCUACGGGAGGCAGCAGUAAGGAAUAUUGGACAAUGGACGCAAAUCUGAUCCAGCCAUGCCGCGUGAAGGAUUAAGGUCCUCUGGAUUGUAAACUUCUUUUAUAAGGGACGAAAAAAGGCUUUUCUAAGUCGUCUGACGGUACCUUAUGAAUAAGCACCGGCUAACUCCGUGCCAGCCGCCGCCGUAAAAC
rnacentral:rRNA from 1 species